UACACUCCUACGGGAGGCAGCAGUGGGGAAUAUUGCACAAUGGGCGCAAGCCUGAUGCAGCCAUGCCGCGUGUAUGAAGAAGGCCUUCGGGUUGUAAAGUACUUUCAGCGGGGAGGAAGGCGAUAAGGUUAAUAACCUUGUUGAUUGACGUUACCCGCAGAAGAAGCACCGGCUAACUCCGUGCCAGCAGCCGCUGUAAUACGGAGGGUGCACGCGUUAAUCGGAAUUACUGGGCGUAAAGCGCACGCAGGCGGUCUGUCAAGUCGGAUGUGAAAUCCCCGGGCUCAACCUGGGAACUGCAUUCGAAACUGGCAGGCUAGAGUCUUGUAGAGGGGGGUAGAAUUCCAGGUGUAGCGGUGAAAUGCGUAGAGAUCUGGAGGAAUACCGGUGGCGAAGGCGGCCCCCUGGACAAAGACUGACGCUCAGGUGCGAAAGCGUGGGGAGCAAACAGGAUUAGAAACCCCGGUAGUCCC
rnacentral:rRNA from 1 species